rnacentral:rRNA from 1 species
GAUUGAGUUUGAUCCUGGCUCAGGACGAACGCUGGCGGCGUGCUUAACACAUGCAAGUCGAACGGAGCACCCUUGAAAGAGAUUUCGGUCAAUGGAUAGGAAUGCUUAGUGGCGGACUGGUGAGUAACGCGUGAGGAACCUGCCUUCCAGAGGGGGACAACAGUUGGAAACGACUGCUAAUACCGCAUGACACAUUUGAAUCGCAUGGUUUGAAUGUCAAAGAUUUAUCGCUGGAAGAUGGCCUCGCGUCUGAUUAGCUAGUUGGCAGGGUAACGGCCUACCAAGGCGACGAUCAGUAGCCGGACUGAGAGGUUGACCGGCCACAUUGGGACUGAGAUACGGCCCAGACUCCUACGGGAGGCAGCAGUGGGGAAUAUUGGGCAAUGGACGCAAGUCUGACCCAGCAACGCCGCGUGAAGGAAGAAGGCUUUCGGGUUGUAAACUUCUUUUAAGGGGGAAGAGCAGAAGACGGUACCCCUUGAAUAAGCCACGGCUAACUACGUGCCAGCAGCCGCGGUAAUACGUAGGGAGCGAGCGUUGUCCGGAUUUACUGGGUGUAAAGGGUGCGUAGGCGGCUUGGCAAGUCAGUAGUGAAAUCCA